rnacentral:piRNA from 1 species
UGGAGGUGCAAUCCCUGUGACGUCCUGU